UACCAGCACCCCGAGUGGUCGGGACGAUUAUUGGGCCUAAAGCAUCCGUAGCCGGUCCUGCAAGUCUUCCGUUAAAUCCAGCUGCUCAACAGAUGGGCUGCGGGAGAUACUACAGGGCUAGGAGGCGGGAGAGGCAAGCGGUACUUUAUGGGGUAGGGGUAAAAUCCGCUGAUCCAUAGAAGACCACCAGUGGCGAAGGCGGCUUGCCAGAACGCGCUCGACGGUGAGGGAUGAAAGCUGGGGGAGCAAACCGG
rnacentral:rRNA from 1 species